rnacentral:sRNA from 1 species
CUGAUUAUUAGCACCAUUUAUCGAAUGGUGGGUUAGCGCGCGUCUGAUAGCAGCGACAUCAACCCGCCCCACGAGGCGGGUUUU